rnacentral:rRNA from 1 species
GACGAACGCUGGCGGCGUGCCUAAUACAUGCAAGUCGAGCGGACUGAUUAAGAGCUUGCUCUUAUGACGUUAGCGGCGGACGGGUGAGUAACACGUGGGCAACCUGCCCUGUAGAUCGGGAUAACACCGAGAAAUCGGUGCUAAUACCGGGUAAUAUCUGAGAUCACAUGAUCUUAGGUUAAAAGAUGGCUCCGGCUAUCACUACAGGGUGGGCCCGCGGCGCAUUAGCUAGUUGGUAAGGUAAUGGCUUACCAAGGCGACGAUGCGUAGCCGACCUGAGAGGGUGAUCGGCCACACUGGGACUGAGACACGGCCCAGACUCCUACGGGAGGCAGCAGUAGGGAAUCUUCCGCAAUGGACGAAAGUCUGACGGAGCAACGCCGCGUGAGUGAUGAAGGGUUUCGGCUCGUAAAGCUCUGUUGUUAGGGAAGAAACAGUACCGAACGAACUAGGUCGGUACCUUGACGGUACCUAACCAGAAAGCCACGGCUAACUACGUG